rnacentral:rRNA from 1 species
AACGAACGCUGGCGGCAUGCCUAACACAUGCAAGUCGAACGAGACCUUCGGGUCUAGUGGCGCACGGGUGCGUAACGCGUGGGAACCUGCCCUUAGGUUCGGAAUAACUCCCCGAAAGGGGUGCUAAUACCGGAUAAUGUCUUCGGACCAAAGAUUUAUCGCCGUUGGAUGGGCCCGCGUUGGUUUAGCUAGUUGGUAGGGUAAAAGCCUACCAAGGCGACGAUCCAUAGCUGGUCUGAGAGGAUGAUCAGCCACACUGGGACUGAGACACGGCCCAGACUCCUACGGGAGGCAGCAGUGGGGAAUAUUGGACAAGGGGCGAAAGCCUGAUCCAGCAAUGCCGCGUGAGUGAUGAAGGCCUUAGGGUUGUAAAGCUCUUUUACCCGGGAUGAUAAUGACAGUACCGGGAGAAUAAGCUCCGGCUAACUCCGUG